GUAACACUCAGCCUUGGGCAUUUUGCUAUGCCAACAGCAUGUGGGUGACCCUACGUUCCCCAGCUUCCUUGCCUUGGCCCCUGAAGCUGCCCUGCUUGGAAUGCCAUUGCACCCUCCACCGGUUCAUUUACAGUUCAUUCUCCAGGCCCAACCGGAACUUUCCUACACCAGGAGCUCCCAACACGCCCCUCCCAGCCUGGCCAAGACCUCGCCCUCUGUAAGCCCUCACUGUCCUAGCCCUCACCUUCACAGGUCCUGAACACUUUCUGCCUCCUCUAUGAGAGGACUUCCAGGUAAAGCUUUGCAGCAAUUGGGCGGCCCCCUGACAUGACAGUCCAUGACCCCAGCAUUCUGGAUCAGGCUUGAACUGUGAGCAGCUGCUUUCCCUGCACUGGACCUGUUUCUUCAUCUAUGGAUGAGAAGCUGGGCUUGGUCUCUAGAAUCUUGUGGGUUCUUUGGGCUGCUCUAUUCAGUCUCAGAACUCCUAUGCAAUCAGGCCCUGGCCUAGAAGCUGAGGACACGUAAGAAAUAUGGGGGAGCAAAGUCCACGUGCAAGCAAUUUCUCAAGACUGUGCUCCCAAGGAAAAGUACUUAGAAAGUGAAAGUGAGAAAAAGAGGAGAAACCCAAAUAAGGAGCUCUCUCAGAAGGAAGCUGCCGAUUCCUCUGAAAUGAAGAUUAAGCACCAGGUUGUGCAAAGACCACAUGACAGUCAUUAGCCAAGGGGAAGAAGAAUGUCCCAGCCUGUCAGUCUAGCUGCAUGUAUGAGAUGUCCUUGUAGUCUAGGACAGGCUGCUGAAGGACAGUCAUAGGUGUCCUCCCUUGGAAGCAGCUCCAAGGUGCACCAAGGAAACAGGAAACACUGCCACAGAUCCUGGCAGUGGUAUUUGGGGAGCCUCAGGGAAGCAGCUAUAAUGUCCACCUUGGAAAUUAUGCCAUCCCUGCUCACAGAGGAGAAAUGUACAUUCGGUCAGACAUGCUAUGAAGUCUUCCUCCCAUCGGGGCCCAGACAGCCUACCGUUUCCUCAUUCUACCUCUGGAGCCGGCAAAUGAUGCUUUUCCCUUCUUAUAGAAUGGGGGCAACACCCAUAGCAACUGUAACGGAAUCUUACUCGCCGGGAUGUGCUCUGUCUGUCUGCCCUUCCCGUUAACUGCCACUUUGCAGACCCGUUAGUGUCAACGACAUCACAUUCUACCAUCCAUAUAGCAUCUCACCUUCCUCUGGCUCCUGUUCCUCAGAAGAACGCUGCCCAUCUAGUCCGGUGAGGUCCCGCAGUCUGUUUUCCAGCAGUAAACAGAAGCGCUAGGCUUAGUUCAAAUACACCGUAUACUGUGACCCUAGAGUUUCCCCUUCCCUUUCGAAUGCUGGGGUGCUGGGUGUCUGCUCCUAUAGGACCUCAUCCUCUCAUCCAGCAGGGGCUGCCUGUGCUUGCCUCAACCUUGCAAGCCACCCAACGGAGGUGACAUUGAAACGCCAGUUAGUUCGUGGAUGAAUUGAUUAAAAGAUGCAGCCAGAAUGAGUAGCUACCACUGCACUUUGUCGGGCUUCAGAUCCUGAUGUUUCGAGCAUCUUUAGAGGGAUGAGGGAGAAAAAGAAAGAAGAACUGAGACCCUAGCUGAAUGGAGCUGGAAUCCUGCUUCUCCAUCAGCAGCUCCCUUGUGUCAGCAUGUGCUCCCUAACCCUAGCACCUCAAAGGAGUUAUGAUCUCCUCCUUCUCUUCAUCAGAAAUCAGCAGAGCUGGCAAUUAAGCCUCGGAUUGCUCUGCCAGGUGAGGAAUUAGGGAACUGUUCUCAAGGACAGAACUCUUGCAUUCUUGGAGAAAUUCUAAGUUUUUGUAGUAUCUUCUCCCAAUACAAAGUUCUAACUCCACUAGAGAGGUACACAAUUUCUAAAAAAAAACUCCAGCAGUUUGGUGGGCUCCACAUCUAAAUUCCUGGGGUUCCAGGUUUCCCUAGCCAGAACCUGCCCUGAGCUCAGCAGACCUACCUUGGUGGGGCACAUCCACACGAGUGUUCUCUGCACCCCUAAACCCCAAGUCUGCUUUCAUUGCAAAGAUCAGAAUUCCUUGCAACCAACCAAAGAUUCAGCCCCGGCUCUCACCCUUAGCUACUGACUAUUGGUUGACAUCCCUCUGCAGGAUGGCACAACUUGUUAAAGCCAGCCAGUUCCACCGUCCUUGGCAGUGAUCCCUUUGUGCUUCAAAUGCAUGCGCCAUUGUGCCAUCAAGGGUGUUAUCCUCCACUGGGACAUUCCCCCAGGUCAACCGCUUAUGCAAUCACCAGCCACCUUGUCCCAAAGACCAUCAGGGCUUCGUGUUUUACUUGAAACAGGUGGUCCUUGGCAAAGCCAGCCAGGGAGUGGGCCACCCCUACCAUCCUCCUGCCCCUUCCCUUUACCAGGCUUAGUCCUUCAGGCACUGAGACACGGUUAGACAUGCAAGAGAUCUACUUGAGGAGACUUCUCGGGAGAACAAGGGGCUCAAGAACAGGAGUAGGGAGGGAGAACAUUCCAACAUUGCCUCGGUGUUGACAUCUGUGGAAGGAAAGUGGGAAAGGCAGAUAGGCAGAAAGGAAGAGAGUCACACCAGUGUAAUUUUGAUAGGGGCCUGGCAGGACCCAGCAGAGUUUCCAAACAAAGGCUGUUAGAGGAAUCUUGUGAUGGGUAGGAAGGGGCCAGCUAAGGUGUCUCUACAGUAUCAGUCUUUGACUAGGAGCAGGGCCUGAACGUGAGUGACAGCAUGGAGUUAACUGCCAGUCGAUUCUUCCCUACUACUGCUCUCUUAAAUGACCUUCGUGGCCACCACAAUAUCUCUACUGGCUUGGCUCACCUUUGAGACAAUGCCAUUAAAUUUAGUUUAUCGACUUGCGCCAGGCAAAGGCAUGGAGUCAGAUUGAAUCCAAUCACUAGAUCUUGUUACAAGUGCUGGCCGUGCCAGAGAGGAGAAAUUGGAAAAGAAGAGAGAAUUCCAGGAGAUAUUGAACCAAGUGAUUAGCUGGAUAAAACAAAAUGUUAUGUGGUCUCAGUGAAGCAGGAGGGCCUUGGAGACUCUGAGCAGGCUUCUCGUUCAGGUAAUGAUGUAAUUGGAAUGCAAGGGACCCGGGUUAUAGUCCAGCUGCCUCAAACAGAGUGUGCUUGGAAUCCACUAAUCCCACACUUAAAAGUGCAGGAGAAGAGCCAGCGAGGACGAUGACGGCUCGAGCCUCCAGCCACACCCGUGGGUUUUCUCACCAUUGAUGGAAGGCCUGACAGAAACCACUCAGCAGAGCAGUGGGCUGUUGGGGCUCACGGUUCAAUGCAUACAGUCCAUUACAUCGGGGAAAACACGGCGGCCGGGAAUCCAUCAGAGGCAGCAGGAACUUGCCACACGGCUUGUGGAUUAAGGAACAGGGGCAGCUCAGGCCAAACCCUGAAGCCCCACGCCCAAAGGUUUCUGCAAUCUUCCAAAACGGCGCCACAAUUUUAGGACCAAAUGUUCAGACACUCGAGCCUAUGGGGGCCAUUUCACAUCCAAACCAUAACGAGCAGCUAGAAUACAGGAGAUGGGACCCACACUGUAGCAAUGAGAUUGGGCUGCUGAUAUCUGUUAACAACUUCAGUUCUCCUGUGAUAAGGAAGCAAUACACUUAACAAAAAAGGGGAAAGGGGCGUCUUUUAAAAUCCCUGGAAGGUACACAUUAAAUACAGAAAUAACAAAAUUAACUAAAUAUGUAAUAUUGAUGCAUUUGUGACAGAUUUAAGAACCAACUGGGUAUUUGGUAUUGGCUGGGUUUGAGAUGUGAAAGAGAAUUUGGCAUAUCUUGUAUUACGUUGUAAAUGCAUAAUUGGGUAAUUGAUUUGAGACUUGUGAUUUCAAAUUAAAAGUUGUAAGAUAAUUUGAUUAGUUUUGUAAACAGUUUAUUGAAUGUUUACGAGAAGCCAGUAUUCACUGUAUUUAUGAUUCUGAGUUAUUAAAUUUGCAGGAGUUGGUUAAGUGCUUGGAAAGGGUUUCCUUACUAGGUCAGGCAUAGGAAGUCCUCCAAGCAAACACAGAAAGCAUCCACUUGCAA